rnacentral:rRNA from 1 species
ACAUGAAGCUGGAAUCGCUAGUAAUCGCGAAUCAGAAUGUCGCGGUGAGUACGUUCCCGGGUCUUUUGUACACACCGCCCGUCACACCAUGGGAGUCGGAAAUGCCCGAAGUCAGUGACCUAACCGAAAGGGAGGAGCUGCCGAAGGUGGAGCCGGUAACUGGGGUGAAGUCGUAACAAGGUACC